UUUCACAUGUUUUUACGGGAAUCUCGUGGCUAAAAAUGACAGCAGAGAUCCGCGCUCGGAUCAUGUGCAGUCGAGAGAGUCGGUGAUUUCAAUGGAACCGCAGGAGAACGGUCAUAACAUUGUCAGUACGUUAUAGAACUGCCUACUGGUUCACACACCGUGUGCCUUGCUCGACCAUCGCAUGUUGUGUCAAUAAGUCCCACCGAGCAGUUUCGUAUCGCGAGGAACAACCCUCCGAUAUUCUCGAUCUGGGAACAGCUCCUCUCGAUCGAUCGGAUCAGAAGUCCACGAGCAAACAACAGACUCGAAUUUCGGAGCGUUGAUCGUCUACGUACGUGUACAUGGCCAGAGGGCAAACGAAAAACGUGAUUCUUUUUAUCGAAUGUGGGUUCCGUGACUUCGGUUUACAAGAUUUCGCGUCUAGCUGCUGCUCGUUGGAGGGCGUUCUUUCGUGGCGCGGCAAGCGUUCGGUAACCGUCGGCCGUUCCCGUCGCUUCUCGCUGAAAAGCACCCGUGUGCUCCAAAAACCCCGAGAGAAUACGCGAUAGAGAGAAAACUACUCCAAAGUCCAAACAGUACGAGGGUGCAACUACUCCUUUUUCUCAAAUCUAUUAAUCAAAUUCCCGCGAAUUCACGUUGAUUCCGACCGAUCUGCCUAUCGUAUUUCAAUUCUCCCUCCUUCGAUUCUCUCCUGAUCACGACCAACAAAAACUUGUUUUACUCGCGCUUAGUAAACACUUCGACAUUAUCGGCUUGGAUAAAUUAAAUUUCGGGUAAACAGUCGAAGAUGACAAGUGGAAAUGGAAAAUUUGAAUGAAAAGAUGAUACUUUCACAUUGUCCCGUUAUAACGUUAACUAUACGUAACGAGGUAGAUGAUAAAACAACAAAUUCAAUGGCACGACAAUAACAGUUCUAAAUUAAAGUACGUUCAACGUUUCUAGUACGUUACUCUAUCGCAGAAAACUGAAACCCUUGUGUAUUCGAAAAGGCACGUCAGUUGAACAGUGGUUGAUUGGGGUUAUAGCGUUUCAAAGACAAAAUCAGAGAGAACGGAGCUAGAUCAUUGUUUGAAGCGCAAAAUGAUGAAACGGAAAAUUCUUAGAUCGGUGGAGAGCAAAGAAUUUCAAUGGAGAAGAACCGUGUCAUGGGAAUACGAGAAGUUCGAUAGCAUGUCGCGGAGUGACAGUUGCAUGAUCUAACGAACCGAAUAUAGCUGAACGAUAUAAAACGUCAGAAGCGUUGGUGGGGGAAGAACUGCCUCGGAUAUAUUCUGUAUACUCCCCACCAUCAAUCCGAGCGAAUCAUACGCACGCUCUUGCUCGCUCCUAUGCUCGUGUAACCUAUGUUGCACAUCGGCCUCUCACUAACCCGCCCAUCUACGUUGGAAGAAGCGAGAGCACAAACAUAGAGGAGUGGGGAUGCGUGACAUACUCGCGUGCAAGUGUAUGCGUUUGGAAGGGAUACAGAGGGAGGGAGACGGAGAAAAAGGGGUAGGGAGGGGAAGCCAGAGAGAGAGACGGAUGAGAGGGAGACCACACACGUAUGCGCAAUGGCGUACACUUACACUACACUACAGACUGUGGUGUAGAGCGAGUAACUGUGUGUGAGAGGGAGAUAGAGUGAGUGGGAGUGAGCGAGAGAGAGAGAGACAGAGAAGGGGAAGUCGCUAAUAUCUGGGGCUCCAGCGGCCGCGCAACUCGCGCCCUAAUCGAACUCUACAAGUCGCUUAUUCUCCAUCCCCACUUCCCACACCCUGCCCCUCCUACCGUAGCCAAGCCAUACUCGAGAGGUCUCCCUUUCGCUCACUCAUGCUUGCUCUUUUCACGAGGGAAGUAUUCAAGUACCUCCGUCCACUGUAUCCAAGAUCAAAUGGCACUUCAUGGCAACGUGAAAUUAGAAUUGCUCUGCAAUGUCGGCAAUAUCGUCCCACAUAAGACUCAAUUCUCAUGCCUCUUUUCGUGUCUUUCCAAUUUCCAAUCAAUUGAUACAAACAAAAACAAGAGAAAAGAAAAAGACGAAAUAACAAUGACACGUGUGUACACGUGCAUUCACACGCAUGUGCCGUAUAAUUAUGACUACAGUUACGACUCGAGGUGAGGCACGUGAAAUUUCUAAUUCGAAUAAUUUAAGAUCAACGCUUUACCGAAGAAAGAGACCUCAGAGCGUGUUUCUUUUUCAUUUUUAUGAUUUGAUAUAGCAAAAACACUUACCCCUGAAUCAAUUCCUUGAGUAUUUGGUGUUGUGGAUCUUUGCUGCAGAUUGUGGAAACUCUGUAACCAUGAAGAUAACUUAUAUAAUGUUUGUAACGAUUUAUACAUGUAAUUAUAAAAGAAUAUUGUUACUACAGGAGCACAUUUAACAUAA